GUGAGGAACCUGCCUCAAAGAGGGGGACAACAGUUGGAAACGACUGCUAAUACCGCAUAAGCCCACGGGUCGGCAUCGACCUGAGGGAAAAGGAGCAAUCCGCUUUGAGAUGGCCUCGCGUCCGAUUAGCUAGUUGGUGAGGUAACGGCCCACCAAGGCGACGAUCGGUAGCCGGACUGAGAGGUUGAACGGCCACAUUGGGACUGAGACACGGCCCAGACUCCUACGGGAGGCAGCAGUGGGGAAUAUUGCACAAUGGGGGAAACCCUGAUGCAGCGACGCCGCGUGGAGGAAGAAGGUCUUCGGAUUGUAAACUCCUGUUGUUGAGGAAGUUAAUGACGGUACUCAACAAGGAAGUGACGGCUAACUACGUGCCAGCAGCCGCGGUAAAACGUAGGUCACAAGCGUUGUCCGGAAUUACUGGGUGUAAAGGGAGCGCAGGCGGGAAGACAAGUUGGAAGUGAAAUCUAUGGGCUUAACCCAUAAACUGCUUUCAAAACUGUUUUUCUUGAGUAGUGCAGAGGUAGGCGGAAUUCCCGGUGUAGCGGUGGAAUGCGUAGAUAUCGGGAGGAACACCAGUGGCGAAGGCGGCCUACUGGGCACCAACUGACGCUGAGGCUCGAAAGUGUGGGUAGCAAACAGGAUUAGAUACCCUGGUAGUCCACACUGUAAACGAUGAUUACUAGGUGUUGGAGGAUUGACCCCUUCAGUGCCGCAGUUAACACAAUAAGUAAUCCA
rnacentral:rRNA from 1 species